UUAAAAAGGGUUGACGUACUUGAAAAGCCAGAAAGAUUGAACACAAUUGACAGACAAACAUUUGAGUAGUAUAGUGUCAAAUGAUGCAUGCUUAACCCAACAGGACAACAAACAGGCUGGCCCUGGCCCUGGCCCUGGCCCUUAUUAAUCAUACUCUUUGAAGCAUGCAUGUGCUGGUCUUGCGCUACUCAUAUUCCCCACUACCCUUAUCAGCAUACAAACAGCUAGCUCAGCUCAAAGAAUAACAAUGCAAAGCAAAAGCAAACUCUAACAUUUAUUUAUUUAUAUUAAUAUAUAUUUGACAUAUAUUGUAAUGUUGUAUGUAGCACUAGCAGAUGUGAGAUGUGAGAUGUGAGAUGUGAGAUGUGAGAUGAUCAAUGUGAAGAGAGAUAAAUGGAAGAUCAAUACAUAAACUUUAUUCAAGCAUUGGCAACAGCUUGGGCGUUUAUGAUGAUGUUAGGUUUAAUGUGUUGCUGUCUUAGCACUCAACCUGCUCAUAAUGGUGACUCUAAUAGUGCUAAUGCUAGCUGCAGCUGCGACACCGGCUACGGUGCGGUUUAACCUACCUACUUUCACUUUCUCCGAUCCUUAGACCUCACCUCAGAAAUACAAAGAUGAUUCAUCUAAAAUUGAAGUCGUGCGAAGAAAACUUCUGCAAGGAAAACAAAAGCAGGAGAAGAAGAAGAAAAUUUUGACAACAAUGAAAACCAAGGACGUGGUAGAGAAAAGAGAGGGCGUGGACGUCGAAGGAGAGGACGUGUUGGUGUAAAGAAUGGACUUGGACGUGGCGAUUAGUACUUUUUAGUUCAAAAACAUUUGAGUUUAAUGUGUCUUAUUGAAUAGAUGUAAAUAAUUAGAAUGUCGUAGCUAAAAACAACUACUCAUGUAGUUAAUGUUUUCUUAAUUAUUGUUCAAGAGUUAUAAUUACUCUUACUUUUGA